GACGAACGCUGGCGGCGUGCUUAACACAUGCAAGUCGAACGGUGAAGCGCCUUCCUUUUUGGUGGGUGUGGAUGAGUGGCGAACGGGUGAGUAACACGUGAGUAACCUGCCCCCUUCUUCUGGAUAACCGCAUGAAAGUGUGGCUAAUACGGGAUAUUCUGGGUCUGUCGCAUGAUGGGUCUGGGAAAGAUAUUGUUUCGGUGGGGGAUGGGCUCGCGGCCUAUCAGCUUGUUGGUGGGGUGAUGGCCUACCAAGGCGGUGACGGGUAGCCGGCCUGAGAGGGUGGACGGUCACACUGGGACUGAGCCACGGCGCAGACUCCUACGGGAGGCAGCAGGGGGGAAUAUUGCACAAUGGGCGCAAGCCUGAUGCAGCGACGCCGCGUGAGGGAUGGAGGCCUUCGGGUUGUGAACCUCUUUCGCCAGUGAAGCAGGCCUGCCUCGUUUGUGGGUGGGUUGACGGUAGCUGGAUAAGAAGCGCCGGCUAACUACGUG
rnacentral:rRNA from 1 species